rnacentral:rRNA from 1 species
GCAGCAACGCCGCGUGGGUGAUGAAGCAUCUUGGUGCGUAAAACCCUGUCAGAGGGGAAGAAACGUGUGAGGAGUCACUGCCUUGCACCUGACGGUACCCUCAGAGGAAGUCCCGGCUAACUCCGUGCCAGCAGCCGCGGUAAUACGGGGGGGACUAGCGUUGUUCGGAUUUACUGGGCGUAAAGGGCGCGUAGGCGGACCUUCAAGUCGGGUGUGAAAACUGACGGCUCAACCGGCAGCUUGCACUCGAUACUGUUGGUCUUGAGUACAGGAGAGGAAAGUGGAAUUCCAGGUGUAGCGGUGAAAUGCGUAGAUAUCUGGAAGAACACCAGUAGCGAAGGCGGCUUUCUGGACUGAUACUGACGCUAAAGCGCGAAGGCUUGGGGAGCAAACAGGAUUAGAUACCCUGGUAGUCCAAGCGGUAAACGAUGGGUACUAGGUGUCGGGGGUCUCGACCCCCUCGGUGCCGCAGCUAACGCACUAAGUACCCCGCCUGGGGAGUACGAUCGCAAGAUUGAAACUCAAAGGAAUUGACGGGGGCCCGCACAAGCGGUGGAGUAUGUGGUUUAAUUUGAAGCAACGCGAAGAACCUUACCUGGGUUUGACAUGCUUGGGACACCCGGUGAAAGUCGGUUUCCCCUUCGGGGACCUUUGACACAGG